GACGAACGCUGGCGGCGCGCUUAACACAUGCAAGUCGAACGGAAAGGCCCUGCUUUUGUGGGGUGCUCGAGUGGCGAACGGGUGAGUAACACGUGAGUAACCUGCCCUUGACUUUGGGAUAACUUCAGGAAACUGGGGCUAAUACCGGAUAGGAGCUCCUGCUGCAUGGUGGGGGUUGGAAAGUUUCGGCGGUUGGGGAUGGACUCGCGGCUUAUCAGCUUGUUGGUGGGGUAGUGGCUUACCAAGGCUUUGACGGGUAGCCGGCCUGAGAGGGGGACCGGCCACAUUGGGCCUGAGAGACGGCCCAGACUCGUACGGGAGGCAGCAGUGGGGAGUAUGGCACAGUGGGCGGAAGCCUGAUGCAGCAGCGCCGCGUGCGGGAUGACGGCCUUCGGGUUGUAAACCGCUUUCGCCUGUGACGAAGCGUGAGUGACGGUAAUGAGUAAAGAAGCACCGGCUAACUACGUG
rnacentral:rRNA from 1 species